CGCGCAGGCGGUGAACGAAGUCGAAAGUGAAAGCCCCGGGCUCAACUCGGGAACAGCUUCCGAAACCAGUUCACUUGAAGGCGGAAGAGGGAAGUGGAAUUCCGGGUGUAGUGGUGGAAUGCGUAGAUAUCCGGAAGAACACCAGAGGCGAAGGCGACUUCCUGGUCCGAUCUUGACGCUGAGGCGCGAAAGCUAGGGGAGCAAACG
rnacentral:rRNA from 1 species